AUUGAACGCUGGCGGCAUGCCUUACACAUGCAAGUCGAACGGCAGCGCGGGGCAACCUGGCGGCGAGUGGCGAACGGGUGAGUAAUAUAUCGGAACGUACCCUGGAGUGGGGGAUAACGUAGCGAAAGUUACGCUAAUACCGCAUACGAUCUAAGGAUGAAAGUGGAGGAUCGCAAGACCUCAUGCUCCUGGAGCGGCCGAUAUCUGAUUAGCUAGUUGGUGGGGUAAAGGCCUACCAAGGCAUCGAUCAGUAGCUGGUCUGAGAGGACGACCAGCCACACUGGAACUGAGACACGGUCCAGACUCCUACGGGAGGCAGCAGUGGGGAAUUUUGGGCCAAUGGGCGCAAGCCUGAUCCAGCAAUGCCGCGUGAGUGAAGAAGGCCUUCGGGUUGUAAAGCUCUUUUGUCAGGGAAGAAACGGUGGGGCUAAUAUCCCCUGCUAAUGACGGUACCUGAAGAAUAAGCACCGGCUAACUACGUGCCAGCAGCCGCGGUAAUACGUAGGGUGCAAGCGUUAAUCGGAGUUACUGGGCGUAAAGUGUGCGCAGGCGGUUUUUGUAAGUCUGUCGUGAAAUCCCCGGGCUCAACCUGGGAAUUGCGAUGGAGACUGCAAGGCUAGAAUCUGGCAGAGGGGGGUAGAA
rnacentral:rRNA from 1 species